AUUUUGCCUUCCCCACCCUGCCACAGGCAAUGCUUUUCUCUCUCUCCUUUCCCUUUUUUAUCUCUUCUAUUACUCAGGGAGACCAUCUUGCCCAGAGACCACAUGUUGAAACUCCUGGUUGGAGGAUGGAUUAACGAUUAUGGGAGCAAGUUUGAGCCCUGCCAGUUUGAUAUUGGGUGCUAAGCAGAGUGGCUAAUGUAUAUGUUUUGUCACACGUAUUUUACUCUGGCCAGAAUGGAAAGAUAUAAUUUUUGUUUGUGUUGCAGCUUGGCCCCCAGGGCUGUGGUGCAGCCGUCUGGGUCACUAGGGCCACUCAGGGAAAGAAAACCCAGAAGCCUGGCAUGCUAGCAAAAGGGACAUAAUUGGAGAAAUCGGUUAUUUCACCAAGGAUUUGAUUGGAAUGACAUGCUUUCCUUUUAGGAAUCAAACUUGACUUGUAAAGCCAAUAAAAGCCUUUUGAGGAACUGGCCUCAUACCUUGCCUACACAGUCUCUGUACAGGGUAUCUGACCUGAGGGCUAACCUUGCUUGUUCCUGUGAACCAACAAGUGAUCUCUAACUGCUGCUCAGAAGAAACAAGAGGGAUGGGUAAUGUAAAAAUCUGGAUCAGUAUUCUAAUCCUGGGCAUGUAUUGGAAUCAUCUAGAAGCCCCAUAUCAGCUUGGGUUCAACAGUUGCCCAGUUCAUGGAAAGUCUUCUAAUUUACUUUACUUGGGAUAAUUUUACUUAUUUUGCUUUACUCUUGUGGAACAUAUUGCUGUUGUACUCUUCAUGUAGGAAUGCAGAAUAAGCUUACUGAAUUACAUAUAUAUAUAUAUAUAUAUAUGCUUUAAGUUCUGGGGUACAUGUGCAGAACGUGCAGUUUUGUUACAUAGGUAUACACGUGCCAUGGUGGUUUGCUGCACCCAUCAACCCGUCAUCUACAUUAGGUAUUUCUCCUAAUGUUAUAUCUCCCCUAGCCCCCCACCACCUGACAGACCCCGGUGUAUGAUGUUCCCCUCCCUAUGUCCAUGUGUUCUCAUUGUUCAACUCCCACUUAUGAGUGAGAACAUGCAGUGUUUGGUUUUCUGUUCUUGUCAUAGUUUGCUGAGAAUGAUGGUUUCCAGCUUCAUCCAUGUCCCAGCAAAGGACAUAAACUCAUCCUUUUCAUGGCUGCAUAGUAUUCCAUGGUGUAUAUGUGCCACAUUGUCUUUAUCCAGUCUACUGUUGAUGGACUUUUGGCUUGGUUCCAAGUCUCUGCUAUUGUGAAUAGUACCACAAUAAACAUACGUGUGUAUGUGUCUUUAUAGUAGAAUGAUUUAUAACCCUUUGGGUAUAUACCCAGUAAUGGGAUUUUGGGGUCAAAUGGUAUUUCUAGUUCUAGAUCCUUGAGGAAUCACCACACUGUCUUCCACAAUGGUUGAACUAAUGUAUACUCCCAAUAGUGUAAAAGUGUCCCUAUUUCUCCACAUCCUCUCCAGCAUCUGUUGUUUCCUGACUUUUUAAUGAUCGCCAUUCUAACUGGCAUGAGAUGGUACCUCAUUGUGGUUUUGGUUUGCAUUUCUCUAAUGACCAGUGAUGAUGAGCUUUUUUUCAUAUGUCUGUUGGCUGCAUAAAUGUCUUCUUUUAAGAAGUGUCUGUUCAUAUCCUUCACCCACUUUUUGAUGGGGUUGUUUGUUUUUUUCUUGUAAAUUUGUUUAAGUUCAUUGUAGAUUCUGGAUAUUAACCCAUUGUCAGAUGGAUAGAUUGGAAAAAUUUUCUCCCAUUCUGUAGGUUGUCUGUUCACUCUGAUGAUAGUUUCUUUUGCUGUGCAGAAGCUCUUUAGUUUAAUUAGAUCCCAUUUGUCAAUUUUGGCUUUUGUCACCAUUGCUUUUAGUAUUUUAGACAUGAAGUCUUUGCCCAUGCCUAUGUCCUGAAUGGUAUUGCCCAGGUUUUCUUCUAGGAUUUUUAUGGUCCUAGGUCUUACAUUUAAGUCUUUGAUCCAUCUUGAGUUGAUUUUUGUAUAAGGUGUAAGGAAGGGGUCCAGUUUCCAUUUUCUGCAUAUGGCUAGCCAGUUUUCCCAACACCGUUUAUUAAGUAGGGAAUCUUUUCUCCAUUACUUGUGUCAAGUUUGUCAUUAUGACACUAGCUGGUUGUUUUGCCCAUUAGUUGAUGCAGUUUCUUCAUAAUGUCGAUGGUCUUUACAAUUUGGUAUGGUUUUUCAGUGGCUGGUACCGGUUGUUCCUUUCCAUGUUUAGUGUUUCCUUCAAGAACCCUUGUAAGGCAGGCCUGGUGAUGACAAAAAUCUCUCAGCAUUUGCUUGUCUGUAAAGGAUGUUAUUUCUCCUACACUUAUGAAGCUUAGUUUGGCUGGAUAUGAAAUUCUGAGUUGAAAAUUCUUUUCUUUAAGAAUGUUGAAUAUUGGCCUCCACUCUCUUCUGGCUUGUAGGGUUUCUGCAAAGAGAUCCGCUGUUAGUCUGAUGGGCUUCCCUUUUUGGGUAACCUGACCUUUCUCUCUGGCUUCCCUUAAUAUUUUUCCAUUCAUUUCAACCUUGGUGAAUCUGAUAAUUAUAUGUCUUGGGGUUGCUCUUUGUGGUGUUCUAUUUCCUGAAUUUGAAUGUUGGCCUGCCUUGCUAGGUUGGGGAAGUUCUCCUGGAUAAUCUCCUGAAGAGUGUUUUCCAUUUGGUUCCAUUCUCCUCAUCACUUUCAGGUACACCAAUUGAACACGGUUUGUUCAUUUCACGUAGUCCUAUAUUUCUUGGAGGCUUUGUUAAUUCCUUUUAAUUUUUUUCUCUCUAAUCUUUUCUUCUCUCUUUAUUUCAUUAAGUUGAUCUUAAAUCACUGUUAUCCUUUCUUCUGCUUGAUCAUUGCAGCUAUUGAAACUUGUGUAUGCUUCACGAAGUUCUCCUGCUGUGUUUUUCAGCUCCAUCAGGUCAUUUAUGUUCUUCUCUACACUGGUUAUUCUAGUUAGCAAUUCAUCUAACCUUUUUUCAAGGUUGUUAGCUUCCUUGCAUUGGGUUAGAACAUGCUCCUUUAGCUCGGAGGAGUUUGUUAUUACCCACCUUCUGAAGUCUACUUCCAUCAAUUUGUCAAACUCAUUCUCUGUCCAGUUUUGUUCCCUUGCUAGUGAGAAGUUGUGAUCCUUUGGAGGAUAAGAGGUGUUCUGGUUUUUGGAAUUUUCAUCCUUUUUGCGCUGGUUUCUCCCCAACUUUGUGGAUGUAUCUACCUUUCUUCUUUGAUGUUGGUGGCCUUCAGAUGGGGUCUUUGAGUGGACGUGCUAUUCCUUUCUGUUUAUUAAUUUUCCUUCUGACAGUCAGGCUCCUCUGCUGCCAGUCUGCUGGAAUUUGCUGGGGGUCCACUCCCGACCCUGUUUGCCUAGGUAUCACCAGCGAAUGCUCAACUGGAAAUGCAGAAAUCACCCACCUUCUGUGCCAAUCUCGCUGGGAGCUGCAGACCGAAGCUGUUCCUAUUCAGCCAUCUUGCUAGCAAAUGCCUGAAUGUUUUCUUAAACUGAACACCUAUUGAUCUUCCAGAUAUCACCAAGAAUCAUGAAUGGCCCUCACCAUACUGAUGCGUUCUGACUGAGCUUCUCUCUACCCUGAACACAAGAGACCCUAAUAGGCAGGAAUGUCAUCACCCCUAUUCAGCCUGAAGAAGUUAUAGAAGAUGGAUCUUUUUCCCUCUGCAACCUUUAGGAUUAUGGGUUCUUUUAUAAAAAGAGAGGGGGGAAAUGUCAGAGGAGCGUGAACCAGAGCAACUCCAUCUUGAAUGGGAACUGGGUAAAAUGAGGCUGAGACCUAAUGGGCUGCAUUCCCAGAUGGUUAAGGCAUUCUAAGUCACAGGAUGAAAUAGGAGUCGGUGCAAGAUACAGGUCAUGAAGACCUUGCUGAUAAAAUAGGUUGCAGUAAAGAAGGUGGCCAAAACCCACCAAAACCAAGAUGACCACAAGAGUAUCCUCUGGUCAUCUUCUCUGCUACACUCUCACCAGAGCCAUGACAGUUGACAAAUGCCAUGGCAAUGUCAGGAAGUUUCCCUAUAUGGUCUAAAAAGGAGAGGCAUGAAUAAUCCACCCCUUGUUUAGCAUAUUAUCAAGAAAUAACCAUAAAAAUGGGCAACCAGCAGCCCUCGGGGCUUCUCUGUUUAUGGAGUAGCCAUUCUCGUAUCCUUCUACUUUCUUAAACUUUCUUUCACUUACAAAAAAAUAGUGGAACUCAGAAGUAGAGAAUAAAAUGGUGGUUACCAAGUUCUGGAGAGGUGGGGGAUUAGAAGAUGUUGUUCAAAGAAUACAAAAUUUCAGUUAGGCAGGAAGAAUGAGUUCCAAAGAUCUAUUGUACAAUACAGUGAUACAUACUUAAUGACAAUGUACUGUAUAUGUGAAAAUUGCUAAGAGCACAUUUUCGGUAUUCUCACCACAAAGAAAUGAUGUGAGGUAAUGCAUAUGUUAAACAGCUUGAUUUAGCCAUUCCACACAUAUACAUAUUUCAGAACAUCGUGUUGUAUCCCGUUAAAUAUGUACAAUUUUGUUUGUCAAAAAGUGAAAAGAGAAAAGAAGGUAAACUCUGUUAUUGCAUGCAGUGGUCCACAAAUAUCAUUUAUGUCAAACUGUUAAACAUUCUUGUUCAAAUUACCUAUAUCCUUAAAAAUUUGUUAACUAAACUGUUUUAUCAGUUACUGAAUUAUGUUUAAAUCAUUACUUAUGACUGCAAUUUUAUUCAUUUAUCCUUUUAUUUCUGUCAAAUUUUGUUUUACAUAUUUCAACUAUUGAUAGGGUUGAAUACAAAUUUAUAAAUAUGCCUUACAACUGAAUUGAUCCCUUUAUCAUUAAAAAUAUUCAUCUUUAUAUAAGGUAAUAUCUCUUGAUUCAAAGUAUAU
rnacentral:lncRNA from 10 species